GAUGAACGCUGACAGAAUGCUUAACACAUGCAAGUCUACUUGAACUUCGGUUUGGGUGGCGGACGGGUGAGUAACGCGUAAAGAACUUGCCUCACAGUUAGGGACAACAUUUGGAAACGAAUGCUAAUACCUGAUAUUAUGAUUUUAGGGCAUCCUAAGAUUAUGAAAGCUAUAUGCGCUGUGAGAGAGCUUUGCGUCCCAUUAGCUAGUUGGAGAGGUAACGGCUCACCAAGGCGAUGAUGGGUAGCCGGCCUGAGAGGGUGAACGGCCACAAGGGGACUGAGACACGGCCCUUACUCCUACGGGAGGCAGCAGUGGGGAAUAUUGGACAAUGGACCAAAAGUCUGAUCCAGCAAUUCUGUGUGCACGAUGACGUUUUUCGGAAUGUAAAGUGCUUUCAGUUGGGAAGAAAAAAUGACGGUACCAACAGAAGAAGUGACGGCUAAAUACGUGCCAGCAGCCGCGGUAAUACGUAUGUCACAAGCGUUAUCCGGAUUUAUUGGGCGUAAAGCGCGUCUAGGUGGUUAUGUAAGUCUGAUGUGAAAAUGCAGGGCUCAACUCUGUAUUGCGUUGGAAACUGCAUGACUAGAGUACUGGAGAGGUAAGCGGAACUACAAGUGUAGAGGUGAAAUUCGUAUAUAUUUGUAGGAAUGCCGAUGGGGAAGCCAGCUUACUGGACAGAUACUGACGCUAAAAGCGCGAAAGCGUGGGUAGCAAACAUG
rnacentral:rRNA from 1 species